rnacentral:rRNA from 1 species
UGGGGAAUCUUCCGCAAUGGACGAAAGUCUGACGGAGCAACGCCGCGUGUAUGAUGAAGGUCUUCGGAUUGUAAAGUACUGUCAUUGGGGAAGAACGGUUUUCUUGAAAAGAUUGAGAAGACAUGACGGUACCCAAGGAGGAAGCCCCGGCUAACUACGUGCCAGCAGCCGCGGUAAUACGUAGGGGGCAAGCGUUGUCCGGAAUUAUUGGGCGUAAAGGGCGCGUAGGCGGGCCUUUAAGUCCGGUGUGAAAGAUCAGGGCUCAACCCUGAGAGUGCAUCGGAAACUGGAGGCCUUGAGGACAGGAGAGGAAAGUGGAAUUCCACGUGUAGCGGUGAAAUGCGUAGAUAUGUGGAGGAACACCAGUGGCGAAGGCGACUUUCUGGACUGUAACUGACGCUGAGGCGCGAAAGCGUGGGGAGCAAACAGGAUUAGAUACCCUGGUAGUCCACGCCGUAAACGAUGAGUGCUAGGUGUAGAGGGUAUCGACCCCCUUCUGUGCCGCAGUUAACACAAUAAGNACUCCCGCCUGGGGAGUACGGCCGCAAGGUUUGAAACUCAAAUGAAUUGACGGGGUCAUAGCUG